GGUGGGAGACUUUGAAGCAGCAUCGCCAGGUGUUGUGGAGUCAACCUUGAAAUACCACCCUUUGUUUAUUUGAAGCCUAACCCCGCAAGGGGGACAGUGCUUGGUGGGUAGUUUGACUGGGGUGGUCGCCUCCAAAAGAGUAACGGAGGCUUCUAAAGGUGCCCUCAGCACGCUUGGUAACCGUGCGUAGAGUGCAAUGGCAUAAGGGCGCUUAACUGUGAGACCUACAAGUCGAUCAGGUGCGAAAGCAGAGCAUAGUGAUCCGGUGGUUCCGUAUGGAAGGGCCAUCGCUCAAAGGAUAAAAGGUACUCCGGGGAUAACAGGCUGAUACCGCCCAAGAGUUCAUAUCGACGGCGGUGUUUGGCACCUCGAUGUCGGCUC
rnacentral:rRNA from 1 species